rnacentral:rRNA from 1 species
CUAACCGUGCAAAGGUAGCAUAAUCACUUGUUCUUUAAAUGAGGACCUGUAUCAACGGCAUCACGAGGGUUACACUGUCUCCUUUUUCUAAUCAGUGAAACUGAUCUCCCCGUGAAGAAGCGGGGAUUUUGAUAUAAGACGAGAAGACCCCAUGGAGCUUUAAACCCAACUGCACUCCCACCUCUCUACUACCACUUAAACUACGGACCCUGCACGCUUGGUUUUAGGUUGGGGUGACCGCGGAGCAUAAUCUAACCUCCACGAUGAACGGGACUACCCCCUUAUCCAAGAGCUACACCUCUAAGAACUAGUAUUCUAACAUAAAAUGAUCCGAUAAUCGAUCAACGAACCAAGUUACCCUGGGGAUAACAGCGCAAUCUACUUUAAGAGUCCCUAUCGCCAAGUAGGUUUACGACCUCGAUGUUGGAUCAGGGUAUCCUAGUGGUGCAGCAGCUACUAAUGGUUCGUUUGUUCAACGAUUAAAACCCUACGUGAUCU